AACCAGCACCUCAAGUGGUCAGGAUGAUUAUUGGGCCUAAAGCAUCCGUAGCCUGUUCUGUAAGUUUUCGGUUAAAUCUGUACGCUCAACGUACAGGCUGCCGGGAAUACUGCAGAGCUAGGGAGUGGGAGAAGUAGACGGUACUCGGUAGGAAGUGGUAAAAUGCUUUGAUCUAUCGAUGACCACCUGUGGCGAAGGCGGUCUACUAGAACACGUCCGACGGUGAGGGAUGAAAGCUGGGGGAGCAAACCGG
rnacentral:rRNA from 1 species